rnacentral:misc_RNA from 1 species
GAACGGUCGGCAGGCGAUCCGCGUCGGUCGCGCGAGGUGGUAUGGUUCCCCAGAGGCCGGUUCUUGUGCUGCCUACCCCUUUAGGGGAAGCGGGCCACUUGAUGUAAGCCUCCAUCCGGCGCCCUCCAACGGGCGCAGGAGGACAACAGAGCACACCCCGCGUACCACCGAGCCUUCGUCGGUCGCGUGGCGCGCGGGGACGUGCGAUGCUCUCGGACCCAGCGGACGCCGUGGGCGAGGACUCACGUCCCAGUCCCGAUAGAAGCUUCGGUAUAAUGCAUGACGGCCGCUCCCGCCCCCCGACCGCCCCGGCGGCGCGUGGGCGAGGCGCGGCGUCGCGGAGGAAUGCUACCUGGUUGAUCCUGC